UACGGAGGGAGCUAGCGUUGUUCGGAAUUACUGGGCGUAAAGCGCGCGUAGGCGGCUUUGUAAGUUAGAGGUGAAAGCCCGGAGCUCAACUCCGGAACUGCCUUUAAAACUGCAUCGCUUGAAUCCGGGAGAGGUGAGUGGAAUUCCGAGUGUAGAGGUGAAAUUCGUAGAUAUUCGGAAGAACACCAGUGGCGAAGGCGGCUCACUGGACCGGCAUUGACGCUGAGGUGCGAAAGCGUGGGGAGCAAACAGG
rnacentral:rRNA from 1 species